GAUGAACGCUGACAGAAUGCUUAACACAUGCGAGUCAACUUGAAUUUGGGUUUUUACCUUAGGUUUGGGUGGCGGACGGGUGAGUAACGCGUAAAGAACUUGCCUCACAGCUAGGGACAACAUUUGGAAACGAAUGCUAAUACCUAAUAUUAUGAUAAUAGGGCAUCCUAUAAUUAUGAAAGCUAUAAGCGCUGUGAGAGAGCUUUGCGUCCCAUUAGCUAGUUGGAGAGGUAACGGCUCACCAAGGCGAUGAUGGGUAGCCGGCCUGAGAGGGUGAUCGGCCACAAGGGGACUGAGACACGGCCCUUACUCCUACGGGAGGCAGCAGUGGGGAAUAUUGGACAAUGGACCGAGAGUCUGAUCCAGCAAUUCUGUGUGCACGAUGAAGUUUUUCGGAAUGUAAAGUGCUUUCAGUUGGGAAGAAACAAAUGACGGUACCAACAGAAGAAGUGACGGCUAAAUACGUG
rnacentral:rRNA from 1 species